GUGUAGCAGUCUUGUCACGCGAAGGUGUUUACAAAUUCGUAUUUCAAUACGACUAACAAUAAGUUUACGGUGCUCUUCUGUUUGGAAUUAGGAAACAGAUUCGAGGAGAAAACAGGCGAGGAACGUUGUGUAUUCUACAGAUUCAACGUGAUCAUCUUUCGGGUCUCGAAGGACGGAAACAAGCAAGUGGGAAGAAACCUUGUAGCCAGAGAAUGUUAGGAGUCGAAGAAACGGAAGGAGAUACAAGGUAAGGGAAGCGGUCGCGGAGGUCUGGCCUCUGUUUCGGUCGGUGCUUUACAUACGUCCGUAAACCGGAGACGAACUGCUACCGGGAAGGACUACUGAUCGUUGCGGUCUCGGCUGUGUUCUUGAUAGAAGUUUCCCAGCAAAGUUCCUUGCCUGCAUCGCGACUGCCUUGGGGAGCCUCCUUCUGCCACGCCGUCUUGAUGCUCCCCGCCGCCUCUACGUUAAAUCGAUUUCGUUCCCGAAGGAAUUCUUGAUGUACAUUGGUCCUACACUGGAUUUGUUGCAUCCUACUUUGACAGUCCAGAACCAUGCAAACCUUUAAUUCCGACGCGAUGCAAGAAAGCUGUUCGACAUCCCUGGCUGUCGUUCGCGACAACAAAAGCAAUCGAGAAAGUUUCCUCGUAAAAGGUUUCAGCAUCGUCCCGAAGUUCCUCUGUUUCCGUGAUCUGGCUGAUACCACUUACCUGUCCUUGGUACCGCAUCCCUCUCGACAACGGGGUUGUAAAAGGAAAAACGAUUCUGAAAGUGUCGAACGAAUGGUGGGAGAAGAAAGCGUGGAAAGAAGCGAGACAGGACGUGUGUGAUAAAAUGAGCGUUUAUUGCGGAGGGGUGGAAGACACGAAGGGAGAGGAACGAAUGAAAAGUUGUCACAUUUGUUUCGCGGCGAUAAAGGGCGAUGCGACUCUCUCCAACUAAAUCUGAAGCCCCGCAGCGGAGAAAGUUGUUUACAAAAUAUUCUCGCGAUAGGACGCGAUAAAAACGCUCGAUGGGGAGGGUUCGUUGAAAAGAGAAAUCUAUUCCGAUCGUGGAAAUUCCAGGAGACAAACAUCAGCAUACACGAAAGAAAGAAAAAGGGACCAUUUCGUUCCUUUUAACACUUAUACUGAAAGCACUGGAAGAGUAGCAUUUCGUAACUCGGUCAUUGCCAGUCGAACAGGCAUACCAUCAUGGUCGUCUGACUUCGAGUACACGAACGUUUCUACCGGACGUUGAAUUUCGAGACACGAAGCGGUAGGAUGAUUGGAAUUCAGAGUCGUAACCGGAGUCUCGAUCUUCCAGAAAAUAGGAACAUCAUGCUAGUACGACCCUUUCCACCUCCUCCCCCGCGGUCGGAACUUUAUACUUUAAAUCCGCCCUAUAAAUAUCACGCUCCUUUGGUCUCGGGGCUGGUUUCCGAAAGAUUGGCUCGCGGUAUUCUUCGUGGGAAUCGCUCACCGCUUUGCGUCGAUAUAUCAAAGGAUGAAGCCCUCUCCGAUCCCCCACGAAACGAUUCGUCAUCCCCGUUUCUUGUAAAACAGGCCACUGGUUUUACGCGCCGUACCCACCGUCUGCCUAACCAUUAUCAAUGCGAAUAAAAAGACAGGAGGAUAUUGGCCUCGUGUCUACUUCAUUUUGUAAAUUGUUAUUUUUUGUACGAAGCAACUGUCAGUUCGAGUGUUCAAUUUUAAUACCAUCAGUCAUUCGUUCCAGGAUCUAGGACCUGGGUAUGAGGGAGACGAAGACAAAAGAUUGCCGAUGUCCAUAUUUUUCACGAAAUUCCUCUACGGUACAGCGAAGUGAAAGAGCAAACAUGUCGCGGAUCGUUGAAAUAAUUGUUUGCCAAUGCGAACGUUGGAUUUAUAUCUCUCGACUCAACAAGUGUUCCGGUCACGUUCAUCCGAUUAUCGGAAUUCUUCCGUCUGUCCGAGUGGCGGGUGUCCGCGAGGCGGCAAUGAUUUAUCGACUACGGGAUCGCUGUUAAUCCCGUUGACGGAGAGUUCCUCUUGGUCCGGUUUUCGCGCGUAAAAAUUCACUGGCUUUCCCUGUGGGAACCGUCGGUGAAUCGAAUACGGAAUGCUAAACAGUCGAAGGGUUGCGGUGCGGUGCGGUGUCGUUCGCUGAGGUAUACCGUCAGCAGCCGAACCGACUAGACAGGCGGUCGCCCAACCUCUCUCUUCUCCGCCAGGCGCUGCGCGCAUUUAGAUAAGUUAAACUAUAAAUUAGACGGAUCACUGGUAGCUAUUCGAGGAAAUGUUGUCGGCGCCUGAAUAUGUAUGAUUUAUACAAGGAACCCGACUCACCGAUAUAAUUCCUGCCGCAGGCGUCGGUGAAUCGCGGGGCUGCCGGUAGCUACUCUCUCGCUGUUCAAUCUUUGUUCGACGUUAACUGUUUCGCAACGAAGGGUUAAAGGGAAUCUUUGCCGGUUAGAUUCGGAAAAUUUGUUUACUUUGUUUCUCCCAUAUCGAUGUUAGUCUAGAGAGGGCGAGAUCCUCCAAGUAGGCGCUGAUUAGAACCCUUGCCUCUCAAUGAUACUAUCUUGCGAGGUCGGAAGAAACGGUACGCUGCUGUAGUGAAGCACGGAAAAAGGCAAGCUUCCCCGCCGGAAAAAAGUGCCUGGGGGCAACGAGACGAGGACUGUCGGUUGGGUGCGUCUUCCCGGUCCGCCGCUAAUGGCGUCGUUAUUUUAAAAUACCACGAUCAUAUUUCCCCGUGGCCCAGCAAGAAUAUGCCACAGCGAAUCGAACUUAAUCUACGCGAGGCGUUUUGUCUCCUCUCCUCGGCCGUUCGUUCUCGAAAGCGUCCCUGCUGCUCUAAAUCAUGUAAGGAUUACGCUGGCAGGGCAAGGAAUCAGAGGGUGGGAGGGAGGAGCGGAAGACGAUCCACGCCCGGCCAACUCGCAUUUUGGAAACAUUUAAAUUCUUAUACGCGAAUAAAUAGCAAGAAUUUUACGCGCGAUAAAAUAUAGAUUUCCUACGGGGUGCCCAGCGACACCGCCUCGCCUCUGGAAGGGUGGAAGAACGUGGUCAUAAAAUCAUUGAUAUGAAAAUAUAGCCUUUUCAUCCGACCUACCCCUCCUUCCCCAAUGACGAAAUCGUCCAGACAUAGGGGAUGAGCAAUCGGUACACGGAUCGGGGAAAAAAAAUUUAUACAAAGAUCUUUUGUUCGGGUUUCGCUCGUCUGCUAGGGCUAGUUUUAAGGAGGUCCACGAGACAAUGUUGACCAAAUCAACGAGCCAAAUCAGAACGAUUAAAGUGAAGAAGUUAAGAUGAAAGGGUGUUCGGUAAGUAAAGCCGAACGGCUUUUGCAGUUAGGGACUGGAUAUAGCAGCGCGAACAGAGCGCAGGAGGGUUCGCGUCGCCGGCAUCUAAUCCAAUAAUUUAAUUUCAGCAUCCCGGCUAACGGGGAUUUGAAGUAUUAGCCAACGGAAUUUGUGUAUCUUUGAUUAGUAUUCCAUUCGGCGCUGCGCUCGGUCUUGCUCGAUCGCGGUUAUACACGAAUCCUAAAUCAACCACGUUUGUGUCUUUGCCUUUUACUAAGGACACCGUUUCUGCGGAGAUUCAGCAUCGUGCUAUUUCGAUUUCGAAAUUCCCUUAUCCAUUCCCAUCAUCGCGAGUGGAUUCAAUUCCAUCGCGCCCGUUGGUAUUCACAAGAUAGUCGUCGGAUGGUUCGAGCGCUUGUUAAAAUAAAUUUUCAGCAAUUUUCAUCCACUUCCGUAUCGUCCCAUCGUAAGAGUCAGGGGGUAACGAUUCGUGCCGAUAGCGGUAGCAGCAGUCAAAGUUCAUGGGUCGCGUGAAGCUUCUGGAACGCGCGAUGCACAGGCACGUAUAUAUGAACUCGCGGCCAUAAAGUUCGAGUUUACAACGCGAAAUGGACUGGAAAGCAAAACGCGCGCAAAAAAAAGAGAGGAGAAUAACGAGGAGGCAGCAUGGAAGCGGUGGUGGCGAAAGGAUGAGCGAGGCCAGGUUUCGAAGGAGGAGGACGGAGUGUUGGGAUCGCGGUCGUUGGACAGAGAACGAGAGGAAUUAAGAGUGACAGAGGAAAAGAGAGCGUUUGGGGGUAAGGGAUGGAGAAAUUGGAGGGAUGAAAGUGGGUGGAACGGAAAGCGUAGAGGGUGGGAAAGAAGGAGGAUGAAGAGAGACAGAGAGAGAGAGAGAGAGAGGGGUAGGGGGAGGAGUACUAGCAGCAGUCAGAGAAGUAAUAUCCAGCGCAACGUUCCGGCAGGAUGAGCUUUAAUUGGAAUAUGGAUCCGCUCUCUGUCGUUUCCCGAUACUCCGAUAAAUUAUCCUACGUACCAUUUGCCCCGGAAAGCGCCACUUCAAUUCGUUGCUACGUUCGAAGCGUAACACCUAGCUGAAAGAGAUGAUGCGCGCCAUUCGAAGCGAAUGAACAUGAUGAAGUGCGAAUGUAGGUUUUAAAGCGACGCGAUUAAGGUCAAUUUGCCGUGAUUCGAUUUAUGCCGCGUUCAAUUAAAGCGAAACGCUAUUCAAUUGUAAAGGUACCACCCCGCGUGUUUCGUCUCAGCAGUGGACAGGGUGGGCUAGGUGACCAGAAAUAGCAGCAAAUAAAAAAAUUUCUGUUCGACCUAAUGCGAGGAAUAGAAAUUAUUUAAAUUAAAGAAAAUAUCAAUUUUUGUGAUUUAACGUAACCAUUACCGGAGAAGAAGAAAUAUUGGUAAUAAGACACCCUACAGAAUCCUUAGGUGAGGAAUUUCAUAUUCUUCUAGCAGUAUCCAUCAAGGUUCCGCGGGAUGGCAGCGGCUCUUGUCCUGCAUCGGUGGGCAGGUAAGAGCGAUAUAUUUUCGAAGAUUGUUUUCUCUCGUCAGGUAGCCACAUACGUCACACGAAAUCCCAAGAGGAAGGCUGGACGGGCAGCACGAAUAUACAGGGUAUAGAUCACAACUCGCGAAGCGUCGGCCAAGUCCCACGGCGGAACGUGGCGAAUCAACUUCCGUCAUUGCCCGCCAUCCCAGUCCUAAUGCCCAACAUUUCUCUUCGGUCUCUGAACAACCCAUGGAUCUACAAAUGGGUGUGAGUAAAACGUGAACAGAUACGAUGUGUCUAUAUACAAUGACUGGUAAAAAUAUUUGCGUCCUCUCAAUUAAUCCUACGGUGGUCUCCUACCAACUCACAGUUCGGCACGGUGAUUGUUAAAUAUUUCAAUUAUUACACAUUUUUAAGUUAGGGUGAGUUAUUUUUAAUUGGUCCUUGGAUUGACGCGAUGCUGGGGACUAUUCUAUGACCAUUUUUGAACCGAAUACUUUUGAAAAGAGUUUUAGAAUCGAGUGUUGAUUCGAGUAUCAGGUUAGAGAGGUUGAUUUAGUUAAUUAAGUGAUCCGAAUGAGGUAGGAAAUGCAAGAUGAAGUAGAAAGCAUGGUGCAAAGGAUCGGGACAACAGGGGGUGCUGUGUUGUUUUCCACUAUCUGUCUUCGGAUAAACGCGUGCGGUUUAGCCAAUUCGCCCCUUGACCGAGAAAAAUGGCUAUCGGCCCUGGGAAUACGUUUACGACCGCCCCGGGUCGAGUAAUUCUAUUACGGAAGGAUUUUUUUUCGCUUUAUACUCUAUCGGAAUCGGUGGUCUUUUUUAUUUCAGAAUGCUCGCACAGACCAUUCGUUCCACUAAUGAGACCCAAACGUCUCCAGGGAGCAUCGAUAUAUUUAGAGUUUGCACUGACACGUUGUUUCAUAACGAUUUUUAGGGGAUUUGAUGAAAUUCUACAGGGAGGAAAUCUGACAAUCACGAAUUUAUCGAUCUAAUAUAAUAUAUUUCAAUAUAAGCACUCUUUCGUUGGCGCCAACAUACAGAAGAAUUACGAUUAUUCCAACCGCCAUAACGUCGCAUUUGCAUUUAUAUUUUUACAGUUAUCUGUACUACUUUUACCUAAUUGCAGUGCUCUGAUAUUGUUAUAGCAACCCUAGUUUUCCUUUUUUAUGCAUAGCCUGCGAAUCAAGCCGUGGGACAUUUGAUUGCUCGAUGGUACGAGGUAUCAAUCUUUUUCAAGGGCCAGCAACCCCAAGUCGACCGUGCAACGGACUCGAUACCAGAGCAUUUGCAUGUCCUUUAUGAAAAUUCUAUAGUUUAUAGGCACAUUUGUAUGUAUUAUCGUAUUAGCAUAUUCCAAAAGACAGCAAUCUCAAUAUUGGAUAGCGUAGUCGGGUUAUAUCGCUUGUUUACUACACCCCCUUCGACGAAAAAACGGAACCACGCACGUGUCCUCCCUUCUCGAAUCAGGAUCGAGCUCUUCCAUUCCUUUUCUUUUCUCUCGAAUUUUCAAUACAAAGCAUCAGAAAAUGGUGCAACCCGACGAAGGGGGAAAAAAAGUUUUCCGUGAAACGAGCAAGUUUCCUAUUGAAUUCCGUAAACACCGAGCUCCGAGAAUAUAUAUUCGCGAUACUGGCUUUGCAUUUUUACCCUGUUGCAAAGUUUAACCGAAUUUCCAUCGAGGGAAAGUUGAAUAGGAACUUAAUUUUCGAAUAUCCUUUGAAUUCGUUAACUCCAUUAAAUUAUUGAAACUUAUCCAUUGAUCAAACAAAAUUUUUUGCAUUAUAGAUCUAUAGCAGCAAUUUAUGACGCCAUUAUACUAUUUCCUAACCUCAAACGCGAUAAAAAUGCAUGUCCUCUGUCGAUACUGUAUUCGAACGUAGGAAGGUCCAUGGAGGGUUAGGUAAAACGCGAGAAUCGCAGGAAACGAAGGAAUCUGCAUAUUAUUGGAUCAAUGCGUUGAGAUCAGACCGUUUGGCGAAAUCAAACCAUUUGUACGAGAAGCUUUUCUCGUCCUACUGAUAUCAUGUGCGAAGGCUCGUAUACGUUGCUAAGCAACCAUCCGGAGGGUGCCUUCUUGCCCGCAUCGAGAUGGUUUUAGUUGGUUUACUCAUUUAGGCAGUAACAAGCUGCAUGAAAGAUAUGGAAGAAAUCUCGUGCGAAAGGAACCGAAACCGAGUCGAGUGAGGUUAUGUUUGUGUCCGUCCAAGCAUUAAUUUUUUGAACUGACGUUACCUUAACCCCCAGGUAUUAUUUUGUACGGCACAUGGGAUAAAUUGGGACCUAAAUAUAUGAAUUAGUAAAAUACCUUUCAUUUUGCGGUAUGGGACGUGUGAAACUUAAUUAUAAGAUUAAUAGCGAAUAAAUACCUUAAGUACCCAGGGCACCUCUGGCUACGUCGAAGAAACCCCCUGCAACCGCUACCUACCUUAAGCAUCUAACCUCCUAACUAAAUUCCCCAUAACCAUCUGAACUAUCGGUUAUCGCUUAAACGGCAAACAGAUAAUACACUUCCGUGCAGAUAUCGAGUGUGUCGCCAGCCGGAGGUCGGCGUUCAGGGGGGUAAGGACCAACGAUGUCCCCGGUGGGUACGAUGGGUUCCUUGGUGGAGAUCGAUGCCACCCCCUUCUCACGGGAAUCACCGUGGGCUAAUCAAGCUAGUGCAGCUUCUAAUACGCUGGAAGGCAUUUAAUCUCGACAACUUGCUAACGACCUGACCAACACACUAUACAUUCCCGAUAAGCAAAGACCCAACAGUGGCAAGAAGCAUUCCCCGAUACCUUCUACGACGGCUUCGAUACCCGCUGUCUCUGUUUGUCCCUUUCCUGUAUUCCUCCCUUGAUUUCACUUUCGCUUCAGAAACGAGCAAACCCUCUUUGGUCCACUUGGAUGCUCGUGGUCGUUCGCGUCCACCUACACAGCUAACCGAACCGAGGGAUAGGGGUAGGUCUAGACAAGCGAAGUCGUAGCAGGUUGAGAAGUGGGUGUCGAAGAAGAGGGCGUCAGGGUGAAAUCCGUUCGGAAGGGUGGCUAGCAUUAGGUGCACGUUUCUGUACUUCGUUGCCAGCCGAACUGUAUCUCCAUAGCGUUACUUGUCCCAUAAACAGAGAGCACUAUUCUCCAGUCGAUGGUCUUCGGAUACGAUGCCGCUUGUGCCCCGAACAAGCUACACGUGCUACCUAUAUAUCUAUGGAUAUAGGGUAUAGUUUCGCGAACUAGCGCCGUGCCAUGCCAACCCAAUUCAAUUUAAACUUCGACGCUCGCGGAGGAGGCCGGAUCGGGGUGGAUUCGUAAUGCGCACGCGCCACAGCCACUAAAUCGCCCGAAAUUAAUGCGAGUUAUUAGUUGACGGCGAUAAUUAGGAGGCAAUUGCACGGAAAAGCGACGUGCCGUUGCGUCGAGGAGAAUUCCGAUGAUCUGGCUCCGGCUGAUCAACCCUUCCCUAUCUAACAGAAGAGUGCUCCACUGAAUUGUUGAUCCUCGCCAACGAUUCACUUCCUAAUACUAGAUCUCAUAUUACCAACAUUAGAGAAUAUUUCAAUUUAUAACUGAACAUCAAAAAUUAAGGUACCUAUCAUUUUUGUUAAUUCAACUAGGUUAGGUUUACUCAAAAUCCUAUAAAGGUACACAUAACCUAAUCUAAUUUAGCCCAGGUAAUAUAAUAGGUAUGCGAUCCCGAUUAGAAAAUCUACGAGUAUAGGAUUUACCGUAGUGCCGUUGGUAUUUAGAUGGAACGUGUAUCCAGGGUAGAAAUCCCGUCCCCCAGAAGUCAUGGGAGAGCGGAGAGACUACAAAAGCAUAUUAGAUACUUCCAAUAUUGGCUGCGGCUCAGGAGGCUGCGGUCUGCCCACAGAUUCCCGACAAACGGAGAGAAGAUACACGGUGCUGGAUUUCCAACGGUUGCAAUACACUUAACCCGAUGUAUAUUUGCAUGCACGCACGUACGCACGCAUGCACGCACUUUGUCCAAGGAGGGUUGGAUCUAGCUGAGGGAGAGACUGGUAGGUGUGUGUCGGUUGCUCGUUAAUAUUCAUACAAGCCAUGAAGCACGGCGUUGCACACUCGCGAGCUCGUAUAAAGUAUCGGUAAAUAAAUCAUAAUGUGUUAUUGCGUAUUUGAAUAUGUUUGACGCGAGGCUUUGGGGACGUCGAAAACCGGGCUGCUACUUGCCUCUUGCGAGGAUGCGACGUCUGAAAGCGAAUUGCCUUUGUGUUCAAAUGAUACCAAUACUACUCACAUUGGUUGUGAAAAAUAAUUGAAACAUAACCUAACAUAUGUAUAUAAAUAUCGAUCAGAAUCUUAGUAAAUAAUGGCGGGCAGGUAACGAAACAGGUUAGGUUAGGUUUGAAUUAAAAUUAAAACUAACCUUAAAAUUCAAUUGAACCACAGAUACCUCUAAUCCAGGUUUGUCGUAUUUUACUGACAAUGAGAUCCAAUAUUAAAAAUGAUAUCACCAUGGGGUAGUGCAAUAAUCGGUGGCACAUUGAAGACGAUGUUGGCGUUGUUAUCGAUUCCAUGCAAUGUUUCGGUGAUUCAUUGCUUCCCCUCUCCCAAGUAUCAACUAGGGUGGUAGAAGCCAUUGUGAAUCGAAAGUAACGCAAUAUACACCCCACACAUAACGAAGCGUCGGAGUGUAGGUGAUAUCGAUGCUUUAAAAUAUCAUACAUAUCUGCAUAUACGUAGGUAUCGGCCCCUUCUUUCUGUCCACCCCCUUUCGGUUUUUUUCGAAGGAUAAGGGCAUCGUACUUAAUGAGUCGGGGAGAGUUGGUCCGCAACCCUGGUUGCGGAUCAACCCCCUUUGCACCCCGUUCGGUGGAAGGGGCUUGGCACCCGGGGGACGAUCCUAACCUUACUUUGAUGUUUCUGUCUUUGUUACUCGUUUUUUUCUCAGCCGUUCUCAGUUCACGUUGUCUGAUUUAUCAGCAUUCUUCGAACCGUCCCGGUAACGAGGCUACGUUUUCGUGUUCCAUGAGAGUAGUCACGUGUCAGAAACAAAAUAUGUCUUUUUCUUAUUACAUUUAUACCACUCUUCUUGAUUAACUUCUUCUGUGUUCUUGUUGAACGUGAAAUAUUUUAGACGCUCAUUGAUAUGACGUAAUUAAAUGGCAAGUUUAAUCAAUCGGUCAGGUUGAUUUUACAAAAGUGGUGACGGGGGUUGAGUGUCUGCCAACUAGCGUAAAUUUUGAGUCACUGGUUGAACGGUGGAAGAUGCUGUGAUACGGGGGCAUGUGUCGCGGUAAACUCAGUUAAUUAGACAAGAGGCAACCAUCGCCACCCCUCGACACCACCGAGGCUUGUUAAUAACGCGUAAUUACCAUUAUACACGGCGAUACACUCUUCCAAGCCCACGUUGGCGACCCCAUUAGAUAAGACGACACCUUAUUAUACGCGAACUAACGUCGCUGUAUCGUGCAACCACAAAACUUCGAAGCGUAGUGUCUCGGCAUGGGAUAAGGAGUCCCCUUUUCCUCAUUUUCAUCGAACGAAAAUAAAGUCUCGUUAAGAAAAUCGGGAUAAUUAAAGCAGAUUUUAGUAGAUAUCUGCAUAGUUAAUUUAUGGUUAAUUUUAUCACCAUAAAGAUUUUUAAUAUAGUACGAAUACAUUAUUGAGUACUAAAUGCCAAACAAUUUCAAGUUCUUCAACUUUCACUUAACCAGCCGUCGCGUCGGUGGAUGAAAAAAGAAUUUCAUAUCAUUUAGAAUGAAAUCAACAGCGGUAUAGCAGCGUUUAGCGCUUAAUUACGAGAGCAAACAAGCUCGGGAGCCCCCCUUAUUGCGUGACCUCCUCGAGCGUGUGCAGCCUCUAGCCGCUUCUUUUACGAUUUAUGUCAUAAUCACCUGAAAGAUAGGUCCCGAGGAACACCGCGAGUUCCCCUUUGGCCCUCGGUCUCCUCUUCAAGCCGGGUUCAUUCUUUCUCGAACGAGGAAGCUCGGAGUCGCGCGAGCUGGAGCAUAAAAUGCAUUUAGGGUUAAUGCGACGUGUAUCGCGCGCAGGCCGCUUUCAAUGGCCGCCUGGAAAACGCGAAACGAGGCGGCUCGUGUAACCACCAGCUGGACCCCGUCUGAACCCUGAACGUUAAAUGUUAAAUGCCAGCCAUUCACUAUUAUCCCGUCUUUUUUUUCUUGUUCUUGUGCAUUUUUUGUUUUUUUUUUUCUUU